CUCACGGGGUGCCCGCACGGGCUGAGAGGCAAGUUCCGCCAACCCGUUGAACCUGAUCCGGGUCAUGCCGGCGUAGGGAUCGAGC
rnacentral:ncRNA from 1 species